UACGAAGGGGGCUAGCGUUGCUCGGAAUCACUGGGCGUAAAGCGCACGUAGGCGGAUUGCUAAGUCAGGGGUGAAAUCCUGGAGCUCAACUCCAGAACUGCCUUUGAUACUGGUAGUCUAGAGUCCGGAAGAGGUGAGUGGAAUUCCGAGUGUAGAGGUGAAAUUCGUAGAUAUUCGGAGGAACACCAGUGGCGAAGGCGGCUCACUGGUCCGGUACUGACGCUGAGGUGCGAAAGCGUGGGGAGCAAACAGG
rnacentral:rRNA from 1 species